rnacentral:rRNA from 1 species
UUGAACGCUGGCGGCAGGCCUAACACAUGCAAGUCGAACGGUAACAGGAAGAAGCUUGCUUCUUUGCUGACGAGUGGCGGACGGGUGAGUAAUGUCUGGGAAACUGCCUGAUGGAGGGGGAUAACUACUGGAAACGGUAGCUAAUACCGCAUAACGUCGCAAGACCAAAGAGGGGGACCUUCGGGCCUCUUGCCAUCGGAUGUGCCCAGAUGGGAUUAGCUAGUAGGUGGGGUAACGGCUCACCUAGGCGACGAUCCCUAGCUGGUCUGAGAGGAUGACCAGCCACACUGGAACUGAGACACGGUCCAGACUCCUACGGGAGGCAGCAGUGGGGAAUAUUGCACAAUGGGCGCAAGCCUGAUGCAGCCAUGCCGCGUGUAUGAAGAAGGCCUUCGGGUUGUAAAGUACUUUCAGCGGGGAGGAAGGGAGUAAAGUUAAUACCUUGGCUCAUUGACGUUACCCGCAGAAGAAGCACCGGCUAACUCCGUG